CAGACCGCUCAGUAACACGUAGCUAACCUACCCUCGGGUCGCGGAUACCCCCGGGAAACUGGGGCUAAUCCACGAUAGGUGUGGAGGCCUGGAAUGGUUCCACGCCCAAAGGCACGGCGAUCAUGUUUGCCGUGUGCCCGAGGAUGGGGCUGCGGCCGAUCAGGCAGUUGGCGAGGUAACGGCUCACCAAACCUUUGACCGGUACGGGCCAUGAAAGUGGUAGCCCGGAGAUGGGCACUGAGACAGGGGCCCAGGCCCUACGGGGCGCAGCAGGCGCGAAAACUCCACAAUGUACGGAAGUACGAUGGGGUUAUCUCGAGUGCAGUCCGAUAAGGGCUGCUUUUCCAUAGAGUAAUAUCCUGUGGGAAUAAGAGGGGGGCAAGACUGGUGUCAGCCGCCGCGGUAACACCAGCCCCUCGAGUGGUGGGGACUAUUAUUUGGCCUAAAGCGUCCGUAGCUGGCUGUAUCCGUCCCCCGUUAAAUCCAGCGUCCUAAGCGUUGGACUGCGGGUGAUACCAUACAGCUAGAGGGUGGGAUAGGUGAGCGGUAUUUCUGGGGUAGGGGCGAAAUCCUUUGAUCCCAGGAGGACCACCAGUGGCGAAGGCUGCUCACUAGAACACGCCUGACGGUCAGGGACGAAAGCUGGGGCAGCGAACC
rnacentral:rRNA from 1 species